rnacentral:rRNA from 1 species
CCUACGGGUGGCUGCAGUAAGGGAUAUUGCACAAUGGACGGAAGUCUGAUGCAGCGACGCCGCGUGGGUGAAGAAGGUUUUCGGAUCGUAAAGCCCUUUUCUAUGUGACGAGAGAGGACGGUAGCAUAGGAAUAAGUGUCGGCUAACUACGUGCCAGCAGCCGCGGUAAAACGUAGGACACGAACGUUAUCCGGAGUUACUGGGCGUAAAGCGCGCGCAGGCGGUGAGAUAAGUUACCUAUGAAAGAUACUGGCUAAACUGGUAUAUGUUAGGUGAAACUGUCUGACUAGAGCGAAAUAGAGGGAAGUAGAAUUCCGGGUGUAGUGGUGAAAUGCGUAGAUAUCCGGAGGAAUACCGGUGGCGAAGGCGGCUUCCUGGAUUUCCACUGACGCUGAGGCGCGAAAGCGUGGGUAGCGAACGGGAUUAGAAACCCCGG